rnacentral:rRNA from 1 species
AACGAACGCUGGCGGCAGGCUUAACACAUGCAAGUCGAGCGAAGGCUUCGGCCUUAGCGGCGGACGGGUGAGUAACGCGUGGGAACGUGCCCUUCCUUUCGGAAUAGCCCCGGGAAACUGGGAUUAAUGCCGGAUACGCCCUUCGGGGGAAAGAUUUAUCGAGGAAGGAUCGGCCCGCGUCUGAUUAGGUAGUUGGUGGGGUAAUGGCCUACCAAGCCGACGAUCAGUAGCUGGUUUGAGAGGAUGAUCAGCCACACUGGGACUGAGACACGGCCCAGACUCCUACGGGAGGCAGCAGUGGGGAAUCUUGGACAAUGGGGGCAACCCUGAUCCAGCCAUGCCGCGUGAGCGAUGAAGGCCCUAGGGUUGUAAAGCUCUUUCGCCAGGGAAGAUAAUGACGGUACCUGGUAAAGAAACCCCGGCUAACUCCGUGCCAGCCGCCGC